rnacentral:rRNA from 1 species
ACGCUGGCGGCAGGCCUAACACAUGCAGGUCGAGCGGUAGAGAGAAGCUUGCUUCUCUUGAGAGCGGCGGACGGGUGAGUAAUGCCUAGGAAUCUGCCUGGUAGUGGGGGAUAACGUCCGGAAACGGACGCUAAUACCGCAUACGUCCUACGGGAGAAAGCAGGGGACCUUCGGGCCUUGCGCUAUCAGAUGAGCCUAGGUCGGAUUAGCUAGUUGGUGGGGUAAUGGCUCACCAAGGCGACGAUCCGUAACUGGUCUGAGAGGAUGAUCAGUCACACUGGAACUGAGACACGGUCCAGACUCCUACGGGAGGCAGCAGUGGGGAAUAUUGGACAAUGGGCGAAAGCCUGAUCCAGCCAUGCCGCGUGUGUGAAGAAGGUCUUCGGAUUGUAAAGCACUUUAAGUUGGGAGGAAGGGCAGUAAAUUAAUACUUUGCUGUUUUGACGUUACCGACAGAAUAAGCACCGGCUAACUCUGUGCCAGCAGCCGCGGUAAUACAGAGGGUGCAAGCGUUAAUCGGAAUUACUGGGCGUAAAGCGCGCGUAGGUGGUUCGUUAAGUUGGAUGUGAAAUCCCCGGGCUCAACCUGGGAACUGCAUUCAAAACUGACGAGCUAGAGUAUGGUAGAGGGUGGUGGAAUUUCCUGUGUAGCGGUGAAAUGCGUAGAUAUAGGAAGGAACACCAGUGGCGAAGGCGACCACCUGGACUGAUACUGACACUGAGGUGCGAAAGCGUGGGGAGCAAAC